rnacentral:lncRNA from 1 species
CCAUAUUUUUCAUGCACACAAAGGCCUCUCUUUUGGGCAUCAAACCUGAUCCUAAUAUGGUAUCCAACGUCCAAGGUGCUGGGUUUAAAUAGAGAGAAGAUAGAGUUUUAAUUUGGAUAAGAGAUGAGAGUUCAAAUAACCAUGGACUCUUGAUUUUUUGUGAUGCCAACACCAAGAUUAUGUCCACCCAUAUUUCACAUGGAAAGGAGGGGAUAAAAAGGGGUUAUUACACGCACA